AGUUAAUUUGGCUUUGGUUAUAAUAUAGACUAUUACUAGGUUGAUAUAUGUUGGGUUUUAAGUAGGUCGUUUUACUUAUUUACAUUAUUAUUUAUUUUGUUUAAUAUAGAUUAAAUAGUAAGUAUUAUUUUUAAUAUUUUAUUAUGAUAGUAAGAAUAGGUUACGCAGUAUUUAUUAUUAUACAAUGAACGAAAGUUUGAUAUAGUUAAUGUAGAUUAAAAGUGGUUAAAUUGGUGCCAGCAUCUGCGGUUAUACUAAUGCUUUGGGUUUAUAUUAAUAUAGUAUAAAAUAAAGUAAUAUUUGUUAAUAUAUUUAGAGUAAUUAAGGACAGUAAUUGUAGGUAAAAUUUAAUAGCUGUUAUUAUUCAUAUUGUUCUAAUUGUAAAGUCUUUGAAAAUAAGAAUGAAAACUAGGAUUAGAUACCCUACUAUUCUUUAUUUUAAAAAUUUUUAUUACUUAAGUAGUGUGAACAGAUAAUUUAUAGAAAAUGGUGUAAUAUUAUUAGAAUGUUUGAAACUUAAAAGGCUUGGCGGUGUUAUAUAUCCUUCCAGGGGAGUUUGUUUAUUAAUUUGAUAAUCCCCAAUUUAUACUUACUUUUUUUUGAAUGAAUAAAUAAAAUCAGUUUGUAUAUUGCUGUCAUCAGUUUAUUUUGUAAAAAUUUUAUAAGAAACUUAAUAAUGAAUUGAUUAUGAUGUCAAGUCAAAAUGCAGCUAAUAAAAAAGGUUUAUAAAAUGAACUACAAUUUAUAAUUUUUAAGUCGGAUUAGGUUGUGUAAAUUAAUUUAUGAAGUUGGACUUGGUAGUAAUAUUAUAAAUAGUAUGUUUUUAUGAAUUAGGUUUUAUGACGCGUACAUAUCGCCCGUCGCUCUUGUUGGGAAAUAAGAUAAGUCGUAACAUAGUAGAUGUAGUGGAAACUGUUUCUGGUGUAUA
rnacentral:ncRNA from 1 species